GAUGAACGCUGGCGGCGUGCCUAAUACAUGCAAGUCGAGCGAACAGACGAGGAGCUUGCUCCUCUGACGUUAGCGGCGGACGGGUGAGUAACACGUGGAUAACCUACCUAUAAGACUGGGAUAACUUCGGGAAACCGGAGCUAAUACCGGAUAAUAUAUUGAACCGCAUGGUUCAAUAGUGAAAGACGGUUUUGCUGUCACUUAUAGAUGGAUCCGCGCCGCAUUAGCUAGUUGGUAAGGUAACGGCUUACCAAGGCAACGAUGCGUAGCCGACCUGAGAGGGUGAUCGGCCACACUGGAACUGAGACACGGCACAGACUCCGACGGGAGGCAGCAGUAGGGAAUCUUCCGCAAUGGGCGAAAGCUUGACGGAGCAACGCCGCGUGAGUGAUGAAGGUCUUCGGAUCGUAAAACUCUGUUAUUAGGGAAGAACAAAUGUGUAAGUACCUAUGCACGUCUUGACGGUACCUAAUCAGAAAGCCACGGCUAACUACGUG
rnacentral:rRNA from 1 species